AUGGAUCCAGCGGUACGGUCGCCCCCCUUCGGCAACCGUAUCAACUCACCGCCGCGGGACCCUUCGCCCGAGGGGUCCGCCGGCGGCGCUCGGCGGGCGAGAUCCUCCUCCGCAAUCCCCAGACAGUCCGCUCGCAUCUACAUCCUCCGAGAACCUGUCUCUCCACCGGCGACUGAGGCUCAGGCGUCCGUGUCGCCGGAGCUACCGGAGGAACUCCUGAUGACCGUCUUCGGCACGCUCGAGAUCCCUGACCUCGUACUUGCCGGCUCUGUCUGCUUCCCGUGGCGCUCCGCCUACACUGCCCUGCGCAACAUCGGCAAGCACAAGCCUACCCAGACGCCGUGCCUGCUCUACACCUCUGAAUCCGCCGAUGAGCAUGUGGCGUGCCUCUACAGCCUCGUGGAGAAGAGGGUCUACAAGCUGACCCUGCCGGAACCACCUCUCCGCAGCAGGUUUCUGAUUGGGUCCUCACUCGGCUUCCUGGUCACCGUCGACGACAGAUCAGAAAUGCACCUCGUCAAUCCUAUCACUGGUCAACAGAUUGCUCUCCCUUCAGUGACCACCAUCGAGUACGUGAAGCCCAUCUUCGACGAGUCGGGUUCGGUCCACGAGUAUGACUACCCAAAUGAGGGAAGCUACAUCGUGGUGCUCAUCCACAGGCCAUACACUCACCUCUCCUUUUCAAGAGUUGGGGAUGACAAGUGGACGUUGCUGGAACCACACUGUGACUACCAGGACUGCACCUACAAGGAUGGGUUGCUGUAUGCAGCGAGUACGAUGGGAGAAAUUCAUGCCUUCGAUCUUAGCGGUCCUGAUGUCGUUACAAUGAAGAUUAUCAAGGGGAGGGACGCGGGCUUUGAUCCGGAUGCUGUACACAUUGUUCAGGCUCCAUGGGGUGGUCUGCUGCUUGCUUCAAGAUUAAAGGAGUUUGAUGAUCCUGAUGAAGACGCCGACCCUAAAAUACCUGUUCCGAAUACCAGGGAAAUUAAAUUACACAGAGUUGAUGACGGCGCAGAGAAGCUUGUGGAAGUUGAUUGCUUGCCUGGCCAUGCGCUGUUUCUUGGGCUUAACGACUCACUUUGUCUCAGUGCCAAAGAUUACCCUGCUCUCAAGGGGAAUCAUGCCUACUUUACUGACGAUAAUCAGUACAAUCAAGCACGUAAGAGUAGUCGUCGUGAUAUUGGAGUUGUUGACUUGGGCAAUUAUAAUAGCAAGGAGGACCUUGUGUCUCCUCAGCUUUGGUCCAACUGGCCUUCUCCCGUGUGGAUCACACCCAGUCUUACUGUGAUGAAACUGCCACCGAAUGACCGUUGGCUCAGUGGACCGUUGUGUGGACUCCCAAAGAUAGAAGAGGGCACCUUGAGGGCUCUCUUUGCCAACCUUGGGAUCCCAAUCAGCAUUGGUCCAACUGGGAUGCUGCAGUGUUUGAAAAAGUAG
rnacentral:rRNA from 1 species